GUGUCAGCAGCCGCGGUAAUACGAAGGGGGCUAGCGUUGUUCGGAAUCACUGGGCGUAAAGGGCGCGUAGGCGGCUAGAUAAGUCGGGGGUGAAAGCCUGUGGCUCAACCACAGAAUUGCCUUCGAUACUGUCUGGCUUGAGACCGGAAGAGGUUAGUGGAACUGCGAGUGUAGAGGUGAAAUUCGUAGAUAUUCGCAAGAACACCAGUGGCGAAGGCGGCUGACUGGUCCGGUUCUGACGCUGAGGCGCGAAAGCGUGGGGAGCAAACAGGAUUAGAAACCCUCGUAGUCC
rnacentral:rRNA from 1 species